GAUGAACGCUGGCGGCGUGCCUAAUACAUGCAAGUCGAGCGAACAGAUGAGGAGCUUGCUCCUCUGACGUUAGCGGCGGACGGGUGAGUAACACGUGGAUAACCUACCUAUAAGACUGGGAUAACUUCGGGAAACCGGAGCUAAUACCGGAUAACAUGUUGAACCGCAUGGUUCAACAGUGAAAGACGGUCUUGCUGUCACUUAUAGAUGGAUCAGCGCCGCAUGAGCUAGUUGGUAAGGGAACGGCUUAACAAGGCAACGAUGGGUAGCCGACCUGAGAGGGUGAUCGGCCACACUGGAACUGAGACACGGUCCAGACUCCGACGGGAGGCAGCAGUAGGGAAUCUUCCGCGAUGGGCGAAAGCCUGACGGAGCAACGCCGGGUGAGUGAAGAAGGUCUUCGGAUGGUAGAGCGCUGUUAUUAGGGAAGAACAAAUGUGUAAGUAACUAUGCACGUCUUGACGGUACCUAAUCAGAAAGCCACGGCUAACUACGUG
rnacentral:rRNA from 1 species